GAUGAACGCUGGCGGCGUGCCUAAUACAUGCAAGUCGAGCGAACGGACGAGAAGCUUGCUUCUCGGAUGUUAGCGGCGGACGGGUGAGUAACACGUGGAUAACCUACCUAUAAGACUGGGAUAACUUCGGGAAACCGGAGCUAACACCGGAGAAUAUUUUGAACCGCAUGGGUCAAAAGUGAAAGACGGUCGUGCGGUCACUUAUAGAUGGAUCCGCGCUGCAUUAGCUAGUUGGUAAGGUAACGGCUUACCAAGGCAACGAUGCAUAGCCGACCUGAGAGGGUGAUAGGCCACACUGGAACUGAGACACGGUCCAGAGUCCUACGGGAGGCAGCAGUAGGGAAUCUUCCGCAAUGGGCGAAAGCCUGACGGAGCAACGCCGAGUGAGUGAUGAAGGUCUUCGGAUCGUAAAACUCUAUUAUUAGGGAAGAACAUAUGUGUAAGUAACUGUGCCCAUCUUGACGGUACCUAAUCAGAAAGCCCCGGCUAACUACGUG
rnacentral:rRNA from 1 species